GAAAAAUACAGGGGAGCCAUGUAAACAAUACAGAGAAGAAAGAGCUAAAACCCCAACGGCUCUAUACCCGAGCUAAAAUUAAUGCUUCCAACAGUAUCUUUGCAUCAGCUUAACAAUUAUAGAGCAGUGGCUACAAACCUUGAUUGAGAUAACAAAGUGACCACCAGCUUUCAAGAAGUAUGAUGCAUUCAGAGCUAAAAUUCUUGCCUGUGAACAACAAAAUUUAUUUAAACAGUGCAAUAUAGUUCAUACACAACUGUA
rnacentral:misc_RNA from 1 species